rnacentral:rRNA from 1 species
GCCGAGCGGUAGAGAUCUUUCGGGAUCUUGAGAGCGGCGUACGGGUGCGGAACACGUGUGCAACCUGCCUUUAUCUGGGGGAUAGCCUUUCGAAAGGGAGAUUAAUACCCCAUAAUAUAUUGAGUGGCAUCACUUAAUAUUGAAAACUCCGGUGGAUAGAGAUGGGCACGCGCAAGAUUAGAUAGUUGGUGAGGUAACGGCUCACCAAGUCUGCGAUCUUUAGGGGGCCUGAGAGGGUGAUCCCCCACACUGGUACUGAGACACGGACCAGACUCCUACGGGAGGCAGCAGUGAGGAAUAUUGGACAAUGGGUGCAAGCCUGAUCCAGCCAUCCCGCGUGAAGGACGACGGCCCUAUGGGUUGUAAACUUCUUUUGUAUAGGGAUAAACCUAGAUACGUGUAUCUAGCUGAAGGUACUAUACGAAUAAGCACCGGCUAACUCCGUGCCAGCAGCCGCGGUAAUACGGAGGGUGCAAGCGUUAUCCGGAUUUAUUGGGUUUAAAGGGUCCGUAGGCGGAUUUGUAAGUCAGUGGUGAAAUCUCACAGCUUAACUGUGAAACUGCCAUUGAUACUGCAAGUCUUGAGUGUUGUUGAAGUAGCUGGAAUAAGUAGUGUAGCGGUGAAAUGCAUAGAUAUUACUUAGAACACCAAUUGCGAAGGCAGGUUACUAAGCAACAACUGACGCUGAUGGACGAAAGCGUGGGGAGCGAACAGGAUUAGAUACCCUGGUAGUCCACGCCGUAAACGAUGCUAACUCGUUUUUGGGCUUUCGGGUUCAGAGACUAAGCGAAAGUGAUAAGUUAGCCACCUGGGGAGUACGAACGCAAGUUUGAAACUCAAAGGAAUUGACGGGGGCCCGCACAAGCGGUGGAUUAUGUGGUUUAAUUCGAUGAUACGCGAGGAACCUUACCAAGGCUUAAAUGGGAAAUGACAGGCUUAGAAAUAGGCUUUUCUUCG